rnacentral:rRNA from 1 species
AUUGAACGCUGGCGGCAUGCCCUACACAUGCAAGUCGAACGGCAGCACGGGUGCUUGCACCUGGUGGCGAGUGGCGAACGGGUGAGUAAUACAUCGGAACAUGUCCUGUAGUGGGGGAUAGCCCGGCGAAAGCCGGAUUAAUACCGCAUACGAUCUACGGAUGAAAGCGGGGGACCUUCGGGCCUCGCGCUAUAGGGUUGGCCGAUGGCUGAUUAGCUAGUUGGUGGGGUAAAGGCCUACCAAGGCGACGAUCAGUAGCUGGUCUGAGAGGACGACCAGCCACACUGGGACUGAGACACGGCCCAGACUCCUACGGGAGGCAGCAGUGGGGAAUUUUGGACAAAGGGCGAAAGCCUGAUCCAGCAAUGCCGCGUGUGUGAAGAAGGCCUUCGGGUUGUAAAGCACUUUUGUCCGGAAAGAAAUCCUUGGCCCUAAUACGGUCGGGGGAUGACGGUACCGGAAGAAUAAGCACCGGCUAACUACGUG